AAACGACUCUCGGCAACGGAUAUCUCGGCUCUCGCAUCGAUGAAGAACGUAGCGAAAUGCGAUACUUGGUGUGAAUUGCAGAAUCCCGUGAACCAUCGAGUCUUUGAACGCAAGUUGCGCCCGAAGCCUUCGGGCUGAGGGCACGCCUGCCUGGGCGUCACGCA
rnacentral:rRNA from 1 species